GACGGGGGAUGCAAGCGUUAUCCGGGAUCACUGGGCGUAAAGCGUCUGUCGGUGGUGAUGCAAGUCACUGGUGCAAAACUCUGGCUCAACCGGAGGAAAGCCAGUGAAACUGCAUGACUAGAGUGUGGGAGAGGUAGAAGGAAUUCCCUGAGUAGCGGUGAAAUGCGUAGAUACAGGGAAGAACACCGGAGGCGAAAGCGUUCUACUGGAACACAACUGACACUGAGAGACGAAAGCUAGUGGAGCGAAGGGG
rnacentral:rRNA from 1 species